GGCUGAUGGAUAACUCAGUUGGUUAUAGCAUGGUGCUGAUAAUGCCAAGGUUGCAGGUUCUACCCCUGUAUGGGACA